rnacentral:lncRNA from 1 species
CAAAUGGCUGAAUUUUUCACAGCGCUUGUGUUUCUCACUGCUUUCAGUGGGUACGUGGAUGCCCAGUGCUUGGAGCAGUCAGACCACAAGUGUGGGAGAGAGCAGGCAGCCUCACAAAAUGCAUCACACCCAGAGGAAAGGUGAACCAGUCAGUAUACGGAUGCAUUUCUGAAAUAUUCAGCUUCUGAAAGGACUGCACGAGCCUCCGUGAGAUAGUCUGGGCAUCUGUGUGGCCACCAGCAUCAGGAUCACAGAUCUGCAGAAGGCAACACUGCACACAGUGUUUCAGAUCUGACAGAAGCAUAGCUACGGUUAAUACUAAAUGUAAAGCUGAACGAGAGCAACAACAAAAAGGUUGACAUCACCUUCCAUUUCAUAGUGGAUGAGAGCCUGCAUCAGCACUGACUUCUGAGCAAGAAAUCCUGGUGAAUAUAUUUCCUGAGUAAAGAAUCUAGCAUACCUAGUAUACAUCAAGUAAUUGAUUUUAGAAAUCAAUAGCAAAAUAAAUAGAAAUAAAUCAGUGGCCAUUUAGCCUCAGUUUAAUCACAGUAUUAUCUCUGGGUAUUUUUAUUUUUCUGUUCUUUUGUUUGAAUGUAUGCUUGGACAAUGUAAUUAUAACAAAUUUCUCUAUGCAGGUCACUCAUUUGCCCUCAUUAUGGGUGAAACACUUCUGAUCAAAUAGCUCAUUAUACAUGGAAGUAAACAGAUGUGAAAGAAUUUUGGGAAACCCCUCAACCCACACUGAUUUAGACUUUGGAACUGUUUCAUGCUGCUCUAAAUUGUUCCUGGUAACCAGCAGUCCAAAGAAGACAUACAGCAAACAUGGAACAAAAUUGUUCAGGAUAUCCAAAGGCUGCAUCUGUAGUAUUUGCGUUUCAGCCUAGUGGGCCUAAAAGCAAGCCAGUGUAGGACCCUGUAGUCCUGCUAAUGAAGAUGUUAUCUCUGGAAACUUUCUGCAUUACUCAGCAUUAAUGCCAUCCAGCUGCCAAACAGCGGUAUGUGCUACACUGGUUCUUUGUAACGAAUAUAGCUCUUCCCUCACUGCCUCUAAGAGGUAGGCCUGAUGAGAGAGACCUGUAAUGCUAUCUUAAAACCAAAACCAAGUCAUAGUAAAUAUUUUUGUUGUGUGUUUAUUUUUGUUUCCUGAAUCGUUUGUUGCAUUGCUUGACUUCUUUGUAAAUUUGGCCAACUGUAUCUCUACCCAUACAAAUUAUGUUUAAUGGCCCAACAAAUGCACUUCUUUUUUGAGGCUGUUAGGUUUCUACCAAUUAGCUUACAGUAAUAUUCAAGGAUAUAGGAUUUGACUCCUUUGAAGUUUUCUUACAACAUUAAACAUUUUUUUUUGUUGUUUGAACUAGAGCACUUAAAUAUUGGGGUACAGGUGAUGUGAGCCCUGAAAUAAAUCGGGAUUUUAACCUUUGACA